AGGAUCAUUACUUGAAAUUAUAGGUGAGGGUUGUAGCUGGCCUCUCGGGGCAUGUGCACGCCCGAGCCCUUAAUCCACACACACCUGUGAACCUAUUGUAAGGGCCCUUAAAAAAGGCCUUUACGUCUUAUCAUCAACCCAUCGUAUGUCUCAUAGAAUGUAAAUAUAUGUCCUCGCCUUAAAAAGCGUUGAUAAACUUAUACAACUUCAACAACGGUANNUCUCGCAUCGAUGAAGAACGCAGCGAAAUGCGAUAAGUAAUGUGAAUUGCAGAUUUUCAGUGAAUCAUCGAAUCUUUGAACGCACCUUGCGCUCCUUGGUAUUCCGAGGAGCAUGCCUGUUUGAGUGUCAUUAAAUUCUCAACUCCUGAUCGAUUUGUUUCGACUUCGGAGCUUGGAUUUGGAGCGUGCUGGCGUCGGUCGGCUCCUCUUAAAUGCAUCAGCGGAAUCUAACGUUUCGGACGUCAGUGUGAUAAUCAUGUUGCGCUGUCUGUCUGAUCCUGAAAGCCCGCUCACAAUGGUCUUCGGACAACUUCAUAUCAAAUUUGACCUCAAAUCAGGUAGGACUACCCGCUGAACUUAAGCAUAUCAAUAAGCGGAGGAAAAGAAACUAACAAGGAUUCCCCUAGUAACUGCGAGUGAAGCGGGAAAAGCUCAAAUUUAAAAUCUGGCGGUCUUGCGGCCGUCCGAGUUGUAAUCUGGAGAAGCGUUUAUCCGCGUCGGACCGUGUACAAGUCUUCUGGAAGGGAGCGUCGUAGAGGGUGAGAAUCCCGUCUUUGACACGGACAACCGGUGCUUUUGUGAUGCGCUCUCGAAGAGUCGAGUUGUUUGGGAAUGCAGCUCAAAAUGGGUGGUAAAUUCCAUCUAAAGCUAAAUAUUGGCGAGAGACCGAUAGCGAACAAGUACCGUGAGGGAAAGAUGAAAAGC
rnacentral:rRNA from 1 species